rnacentral:rRNA from 1 species
UAUUGGGCAAUGGAGGAAACUCUGACCCAGCAAUACCGCGUGAAGGAUGAAGGUCUUCGGAUUGUAAACUUCUGUUAUAAAGGAAGAAUAAAAUGACGGUACUUUAUAAGUAAGCCCCGGCAAACUAUGUGCCAGCAGCCGCGGUGAUACAUAGGGGGCAAGCGUUGUCCGGAAUGACUGGGUGUAAAGGGUGUGUAGGUGGCUUAUUAAGUUAGAAGUGAAAUACCUAGGGCUUAACCCAGGUGCUGCUUCUAAAACUGAUAGACUUGAGUGCAGUAGAGGAAAGUGGAAUUCCUAGUGUAGCGGUGGAAGGCGUAGAUAUUAGGAGGAACAUAAGUGGCGAAGGCGACUUUCUGGACUGUAACUGACGCUGAGGCACGAAAGCAUGGGGUUCAAACAGG